GGAGAGAGUAAUGAGAGCUUGUGUUACUGUAAUACUGGAGAGAGUAACGAGAAGCUUGUGUUACUGUAAUACUGGAGAGAGUAACGAGAAGCUUGUGUUACUGUAAUACUGGAGAGAGUAACGAGAAGCUUGUGUUACUGUAAUGCUGGAGAGAGGAAUGAGAAGCUUGUGUUACUGUAAUGCUGGAGAGAGUAACGAGAAGCUUGUGUUACUGUAAUACUGGAGAGAGUAACGAGAAGCUUGUGUUACUGUAAUGCUGGAGAGAGUAAUGAGAAGCUUGUGUUACUGUAAUGCUGGAGAGAGUAAUGAGAGCUUGUUACUGUAAUACUGGAGAGAGUAAUGAGAAGCUUGUGUUGCUGUAACACUGGGAGAGUAUUGAGGAAUGUGUAAUACUGGGAGAGUAUUGAGGAAUGUGUGUUGCUGUAAUACUGGGAGAGUAUUGAGGAAUGUGUAAUACUGGGAGAGUAUUGAGGAAUGUGUGUUGCUGUAAUACUGGGAGAGUAUUGAGGAAUGUGUAAUACUGGGAGAGUAUUGAGGAAUGUGUGUUACUGUAAUACUGUGAGAGUAUUGAGUAAUAUGUGAUACUGGGAGAGUAACGGGGAGAGAGUAAUGAGAAGCUUGUGUUACUGUAAUACUGGAGAGAGUAAUGAGAAGCUUGUGUUGCUGUAACACUGGGAGAGUAUUGAGGAAUGUGUAAUACUGGGAGAGUAUUGAGUAAUGUGUGAUACUGGGAGAGUAACGAGGAAUGUGUGUUGCUGUAAUACUGGGAGAGUAACGAGGAACGUGUGUUGCUGUAAUACUGCGAGAGUAUUGAGGAAUGUGUGUUGCUGCCAUAAUGUAUCGAAAAAGUAUUGUAGCCAUGAAAAACAUGAUUGAAAUGCAAACCAGAUUAAAAAAUAAGCAUUUAUUAAAUGGAAUUU